AGGUGCUAUAUACCGUCUAUUUGCUGGAGGAUUGGAUGAGACUCAACAAUGGUACUGAGAUUUGACCGCAUGCUCACACAAGAUGAAAUCCUUUGAAAGGAAAUCCAGACGAAGAAGAAGAUGCACUCCUAUAAUUCAAACUGAUAAAAGACCCAAAGGGCAGCCAGAAAGCAAUAAGCCCGAUGAAACCAGUUUUGUUAAAAAAAGACCAUAAGAGGGAAGAGAAAGAGGGGGAGAAAACCACAUCAUGGAAACAACAACAGCAAACGACAGCAUUCUGAACCAGACUGAGUCCUUCGAUCUGCUCCCCGGAGCAGCCCCAAGCCUCGAUCUCAGUUCGUCGUAUUAGCAAGAGGUAACUUCAACUGAUACAGUGCCUGCAUCAGCAAAGACGUGCACAUUUCUCUCUGGAAGGAAGACACUUCACCAUAGCAGCUUGGAGCCUGUCCUAUGAAAUCCUAGGUACAGAGGCGAGAGAUUAUACUGCUUGAAUGUUCCUGCUGAUACUGACCGUUUACUGUGCCAAUACAGGUCUCAAAUAGAAAUAAUCAGUGCAAACAUGGGAUAAACGAUGACAGCUGUAACACUGCAAAUGGGCUGACAGAGCCCAUCUCCAUCAACUUCACUGCAUAAUCCAAAUGUACUACAGAAAAUCACCUUGCUAUUUUGUUUCAUUCUUCUUUGGUUGAAAGCAGCGUUCAUGUCCCAUUUGUAAUUUGAGCAAUGCCAAUGGAGAACAACAUAGAGCUUCAUGUAGAAGAGUAGUAAAGUGCAGCAAAUUAUUAUCAAAGUAAUAUACUGUAUAAAGCCUUGGGAUUCAUCUUCUGUGCCAAGAUCAGAAAAUUAUGCUGUAAAUUGCCUGAAUUCCACAAGGAAUAUGAUUGCUUAUGUGCAUAAUGUUCUUCCAGAAAGCUUCCACAGUGGAGUUGAGCCACUUUUAUGUUGUAAUCAUGCGAUGGUAGUAUCUGCUGCAUCAGACAUAGAUGCUCCCAAAUAGAAGAUCAAUUAUGUCACUCAGCCCAUCGUGUCUGCUCAACCAUUCCAUCAUGGAUGAUUUAUUAUCCCUCUCAACCCCAUUUCCCCAUAACUUUUGAUGCACUGACUAACCAAGAUCCUAUCAACCUUCACUAUGCACAUACUCAAUGACUUGGCCUCCACAGACAUUUGUGGUAAUGAACACUACAAAUUCACCACCAUCUGUCUAAAGAAAUUCCUUCUGAUCUCUAUUCUAAAUGGAUGUUCCUUUACUCUGAGGCUGUGCCCUUUGGUCCUAGACCCGCUCACUUCAGGAAACAUCCUCUCCACAUCUGCUCUAUCUACGCCUUUCAAUAUUCAAUAGGUUUCAAUGAAAUCCCCCCUCAUUCUCCUAAACUCCAGUGAUAACAGGUCUGAGAGCCAUCAAACACUCCUCAUACAUUAACCCUUUCAUUCUUGUAAACCUCCUCUACACCCUCUCCAAUGCCAGCACAUCUUUACUUAAAUAAGACGCCCAAAGCUGCACGCAAUAUUCCAAGUGAGGCCUCACCAGCACCUUAAAAAGCCUCGACAUCACAUUUGCCUUCCAUACCACUGAUUCAACCUGCAAGUUAACCUUAAGGAAAUCCUGCACAAAGAUUCUCAAGUCCCUUUGCAAUACUGAUUUUUGAAUUUUCUCUCUGUUGAGAAAAUAGUCUAUGCCUUUAUUCCUUCUCCCAAAGUGCAUGAUCAUACACUUUCCAACACUACAUUCCAUCUGGCACUUCCUCGUCCAUUCUCCCAGCCUGCUCAAGUUCUUCUGCAGACUCCCUGCUACUUGCCACUCCACCUAUCUUUGUAUAGUCUGCAAGUGGCCACAAAGUCAGCAAUAUUGUCAUCCAAAUCGUUGACUUACAAUGUGAAAUGAAGCAGUGCCAAUACUGACUCCUGUAAAACACCACUUAUUACCAGCAACCAAUCAGAAUAGGCACCCUUUAGUCUCACUCCUUGCCUCCUGCCAAUCAGCCAAUCUCUUUCCAAGCUAGUAUCUUUCCUUUAAUACCAUGGACUUUUAUCUUGUUAAGCAGCCUCGCAUGUGGCAUGUUGUCAAAGGCCUGAAAAUCCAAGUAAACAUCCAUAACUCUCCUGAGAAAAGUCCUCACUAAGAAAGACAGACCACUCUAUCCUGGACACUCAAUCCAUUCAAAAACCAAUACGCUUUUGCAUUGUGAGUCAAGGAAUUUUGGGAUAGUGCAGGAAAAUGGUGCUGAGAUAAAAAAAUUAGCUAUGAAACAUAGAAACAUAGAAAAUAGGUGCAGGAGUAGGCCAUUCGGCCCUUCCAGCCUGCACUGCCAUUCAGUAUGAUCAUGGCUGAUCAUCCCAACUCAGAACCCUGUACCUGCUUUCUCUCCAUACCCCCUGAUCCCUUUAGCCACAAGGGCCCUCUUAAAUAUAGCCAAUGAACCGGCCUCAACUGUUUCCUGUGGCAGAGAAUUCCACAGAUUCACCACUCUCUGUGUGAAGAAGUUUCUCCUCAUCUCUGUCCUAGAAGGCUUCCCCUUUAUCCUUAAACUGUGACCCCUCGUUCUGGACUUCCCCAACAUCAGGAACAAUCUUCCUGCAUCUAGCCUGUCUAAUCCCUUUAGAAUUUUAUACCUUUCAAUAAGAUCCCCCCUCAAUCUUCUAAAUUCCUGCAAGUAUAAGCCCAGUCGAUCCAGUCUUUCUUCAUAUGAAAGUCUUGCCAUCCCAGGAAUCAAUCUGGUGAAUCUUCUUUGUACUCCCUCUAUGGCAAGAAUAUCUUUCCUCAGAUUAGGGGACCAUAACUGCACACAAUACUCCAGAUCUAGAUGAGAUACUCCAUGAUCUAGAAAGGUGGCACAGAAGACUCAAAAGAGAGAAAUAACCUCCUCCUGCUUCUAAUUCUUAUGUCUGUAGACACUGAAGCACCAGACAAUCCCAAAGCCACUGGGGUCAAGCCAACAUUAAUAUUACUACUUCCCUGAGUACGCGGCUCAUUGGGCAGGGUUCUGAAGUGAGUGUCUGGGAUACAAGACCCUCCCUGUCACUACCACCAAAGGGAACCUGCCUUCAUCAUCAUCUGUUGACAUGCUAUUCUUCUGCUUUUUCUUCCCCUUGAGAAAAUCACCGUACUCAAGAUGGCACAACCCUCUCUGGACAGCACUGCAGAGUGCCCUCUGAUUGGUCCAGACUUUAGCAUGUUGUUGAAUGUUAUCCCUCUCGUAGGCUGCUGGGCCAGGUUGUUGGUGCAGCUGCACCUGCAACAGGCCAGAGUGACAGAGGUCAGCCCUCCACGUUAUACAGUGUCUGAAAGACAACAGACACUGCAGUCUGCCUGUGAAUAAUGAAAUUAGACAAAUCCCUAGGAAACACAGCACAGGCCAGAAGAAAUUUCACUAAGACACUGAAUUGUUAGAUGGUGGUAAUAACACUUGUGAUUCACUUGGAUCUCCUGGCUUCAGUAAGGAACCAGGAGCUGGCAAUCUUCACUAGUGCAGAACAAAUUAAUAUUCCCCCUUCUUGAGCAAACAGCGACAUGUAGGAUGUUGUUACUGGUGAGAUGCUUACUGCCACAUAUCACAAUGUCUGUAUCUACUACUACAAAUAAUGAGGCUAAGAAGUUUAGCAUGGAGAAAAUAUCACUGGGAGCUUGCCUGCAGAAAGUUAUAUAUCUCUGACACCACUGAUUCUGAAAACUUUAGCUUCUACAGUCACUACUCCAAAGGGGCUCUAUCAGACCAUAAAACACAGAAGAAGAAUUAAGCCAUUUGGCCCAAAGAGUGUGCUCCGCUAUUUGAUCAUGGCUCAUUUAUUUGCCCCCUCAACCCCAUUCUCCUGACUUUUCCUCUUAACGUUUGAUGCCCUUACUAAGCAAGUGAAUCUUUGGGGAAUCCUGACUCUAGAACUCCCAAGCUCUGUGCAUCUCUGAUUUCUGAAUUUGUUCCCCACUUAGAAAACAAGUCUAUGGCUUCACUCCUUUUACCAGAGUGCAAUCAAUCAUACACUUUCCUAAACUGUAUUCCAUCUGCUACUUCUUUGCCCAUUCUCCUAAUCUAUCCAAGACCUCUGCAGACUCCCUACUUCCCCAACAUUACCUGCCCCUCCACCUAUCUUUGUAUCAUCUGCAAACUUGGCCACAAAGAUAUCAAUUCCAUCAUCUAGAUUAUUGACAUAUAGAGUGAAAACAAGUGGAGCCAACAUUGACUCCUGCAGAACACCACUCAAGUAAUAACACAGCCAUUUAUUCCUGCUGUUUAUCUUCUGCCAGUCAAUCAAUGUUCUAUCCAUGCUAGUAUCUUUCUUGAAAUACCACCGGGUCCUAUAAUGUGCAGCAGUUUGUCAAAGGCCUUCUGAAAAUUCAAGGGAACAUCCACUGACUCUCUUUUGUCGAUCUUGCUGAAAGAAUUCCAACAGAUUUAUCAGAAGUCUUACUGUUCAUGGAUCAUGCAUGUCCAGUAGCUGGAUGGAACAGGAUGAUCGUAGAUCUUCAACAUUCUGCGUUUGGAGCGUACGUACCCAGAGGAACAAGAGACCUCUAAGUCAUCAUAAUGUUUUGAAACAUUAGAAACUUUACCCAACUCAGUUCUACCCUACUCCUCCCACCUGUCCCAAUUUCAUUACACAAAAAUUGCUGGAGCAACUCAACAGAUCAGACAGAUCUAUGGAAGGAUGGGAGAUGUUUGACUUGAUGCCACAUUGAGAGCUCUCCUUCCUAAUUGUAUGCUACUACCCACCUGGUCCAUUCCAGAGCCAAGAAUAUAGAGGAGAGACUUCAAAACUGGUUUACAGGUGGUUGGAUCCACGCCUCUCCAUCUACCUGUACUGGAACACCCUCAUCUCCCAGAAUGGUGAUCUUCACAGACCGACACUGCAGAGGUUACAACAAAAGAACCAACAACUACCUCAGCCUACAUGAACUGAACUGGACUUUAUACUUUCCCAUGAUAAUUCCUUAUCCCCUAGACAAUGAUAGAGCUUGUUUAUUAUUGAUUAUUAUUAUACCCACACUUUUAGGUUUAGUAUUGCUAAUGUGUAUUAUCUGUAUAUUUGCAUUGUUGAUAUUGAUUUGUAUAUUUUACUAAUAAACACUGUU